UUCUAGCCCCGAUAGUAACGGCAUCUUUUUUUGAAAUUGAAAUUGGGUGGCUGGAAAAAAAGAUAUAGUGGAUAGCGGGAAACAGC
rnacentral:sRNA from 1 species